UGGGUCUGUAUUUGCUGAGUAACUACCCAGAGGCAGAGUUCCCAGGAAGCAAGUGAAGAUGACUCUGCAGAGCCCUAACCACAAGGGCCACUCCCAAGACCCUAGAGAGGGCCUGCAGGGUAUUCACACAGUCACAAGUGUGCAUAAAGUGUGUGUGCAUAUAAGCAUCAGGCCCUCCUUGACUUUGUAGACACUAUUCCAGAUGCUGGGUGAACACACUCAACAAAAGAGCUCUCAGAGGACUGGGAUGGGGCUCAACCAAUUCAGAACUAUCACCUGCUCACUCACCCUCCAGAAAUCAUCGAUGCAGAUACCUGGUUGCAGGCCUCUGGCUGCAGGAACCAUAUGUGCUGCUGGAUGGGGUAGUGCAGCACAGGGACGUGGGAAGACCCACUGUCCCCAGAGGCCUUCCCGACCAGAGUGCAGAGCGCCUGUGUCUCCACAUGACUCAGCAAUGACUGUGGCCUGAGAAUGCCUGGCUGCACAGAAACAUCAAUCUGGGAUUUAAAAAUAAACAGGCUGGGUGCAGUGGCUCAUGCCUGUAAUCCCAGCACUUUGGGAGGCCAAGGCAGGUGGAUCACCUGAGGUCGGGAGUUCCAGACCAGCCUGACCAACAUGGAGAAACUCCAUCUCUACUAAAAAUACAAAAAUUAGCCGGGCAUAGUGGUGCAUGCCUGUAAUCCCAGAUACUCGGGAGGCUGAGGGCAGGAGAAACGCUUGAACGUGGGAGGCAAAGGUUGAGGUGAGCUGAGAUUGCACCAUUGCAUUCCAGCCUGGGCAACAAGAAUGAAACUCCGUCUCAAAAAUAACGGUAAUAAUAAUAAUAAUAAACAAAUAAACCAUUCAUACUGUAGUCCAGAUAUUCUUUCCAAUCAGCCCUGCUACAAGAUCUUGUGUUGGAAGCAAUUUUCAAGCUUUUCCUCAUGGAAGGAAAAAAGGACUUACUUAUAUUUUUAGCCUCUAAACAGUCACUUUGCACUUGAAACCUGUAAACUUAUUUGCUAUACUUUAUUUUUGAAUAUUUUGAUGGCUGUCUCUGCCAUAGCCACUCAACUGUGGUCUUCACACGUCUGUCAUAAAUGAACCCAUAUAUACAUUAGGUCUGAUACAAAACCAAAAUAUGUUAUUAAGGGUUUGGGCAGAUAUAUAAAAAGUUGAACACAUUUUAGUUUACUGCUGUUCUUAAAGUGAUUACCAACUGCGGACCAUUCUUGUACUUAUGAAAUAAAAUAUAAGCAUGCCUGCUAACAAUUCCAAUUUUAGUACCUUAGCUAGAAAUGGGUUUUGAAUCAGUUCUAAUGUUUAUAUUCAUGUUACAAUUAUGACCAAAUUAUACUAUUACUUUUAAAGAUUUUGGAACUGUUGUUUAAAUUUCUGGUUUGCUAUUUAGGUAUGUUAAAAAUGCAAAUUGUUUACAUAGUUCAAAUCCCUAAUCUAAGGCCACAGGAAAUAUAAUACCUCAAAAACAAAAAACUAAACCAACAAAAC
rnacentral:lncRNA from 10 species